rnacentral:rRNA from 1 species
GAUUCAUAAUAACUUCUCGAAUCGCAUGGCCUUGCGCCGGCGAUGGUUCAUUCAAAUUUCUGCCCUAUCAACUUUCGAUGGCAGGGUCUUGGCCUGCCAUGGUUACAACGGGUAACGGAGGGUUAGGGCUCGACCCCGGAGAAGGAGCCUGAGAAACGGCUACUACAUCCAAGGAAGGCAGCAGGCGCGCAAAUUACCCAAUCCCGACUCGGGGAGGUAGUGACAAUAAAUACUGAUACAGGGCUCUUUUGGGUCUUGUAAUUGGAAUGAGUACAAUUUAAAUCCCUUAACGAGGAACAAUUGGAGGGCAAGUCUGGUGCCAGCAGCCGCGGUAAUUCCAGCUCCAAUAGCGUAUAUUAAAGUUGUUGCAGUUAAAAAGCUCGUAGUUGAACCUUGGGCCUGGCUGGCCGGUCCGCCUCACCGCGUGCACUGGUUCGGCCGGGCCUUUCCCUCUGGGGAACCGCAUGCCCUUCACUGGGUGUGUCGGGGAACCAGGACUUUUAC